rnacentral:rRNA from 1 species
GAUGAACGCUGGCGGCGUGCCUAAUACAUGCAAGUCGAGCGAACGGACGAGAAGCUUGCUUCUCUGAUGUUAGCGGCGGACGGGUGAGUAACACGUGGAUAACCUACCUAUAAGACUGGGAUAACUUCGGGAAACCGGAGCUAAUACCGGAUAAUAUUUUGAACCGCAUGGUUCAAAAGUGAAAGACGGUCUUGCUGUCACUUAUAGAUGGAUCCGCGCUGCAUUAGCUAGUUGGUAAGGUAACGACUUACCAAGGCAACGAUGCAUAGCCGACCUGAGAGGGUGAUCGGCACCACUGGAACUCAGACACGGUCCAGACUCCUACGGGAGGCAGAAGUAGGGAAUCUUCCACAGUGGGCGCAAGCCUGACGGAGCAACGCCGCGUGAGUGAUGAAGGUCUUCGGAUCGUAAAACUCUGUUAUUAGGGAACAACAUAUGUGUAAGUCACUGUGCACAUCUUGACGGUACCUAAUCAGAAAGCAACGGCUAACUACGUG